AGAAGUGGAGAACACUAGAUACAUGGUCCCCUAUUUCAACAGGGGGCACCACGUACUCUCACUGAUCCAGCCCACUGCCCCUCACAGUAAAACAUCCAGCUCUCUGGCUAUUCAGAAGACGGAGAAACCACUGGCAUGUGGGGAGGAAGUGUCAAUCACCAUCCAGUAUGCUAUCGUAGGGGAGACCGUCCCAAAGCGCUCCGUGGAUGUCAUCUACCUGGCCUUAUCCAGAGGGGCGAUACUUCAGCAUGGACAUAUGAAGGUUACUGUACAGCAGGGGAGUCCUGUAACUGAGGGUGAAGUCACCUUGAAGUUGGCAGUGGUUCCAGAGAUUGCGCCGU